ACGCACGCUGGCGGCGUGCUUCACACAUGCAAGUCGCACGGAAAGGCCUCUUUCGGGGGGUACUCGAGUGGCGAACGGGUGAGUAACACGUGAGUAACCUGCCCUUGACUUUGGGAUAACUUCAGGAAACUGGGGCUAAUACCGGAUAGGAGCUCCUGCUGCAUGGUGGGGGUUGGAAAGUUUCGGCGGUUGGGGAUGGACUCGCGGCUUAUCAGCUUGUUGGUGGGGUAGUGGCUUACCAAGGCUUUGACGGGUAGCCGGCCUGAGAGGGUGACCGGCCACAUUGGGACUGAGAUACGGCCCAGACUCCUACGGGAGGCAGCAGUGGGGAAUAUUGCACAAUGGGUGGAAGCCUGAUGCAGCAACGCCGUGUGCGGGAUGACGGCCUUCGGGUUGUAAACCGCUUUCGCUCAUGACGAAGCUUUGUGUGACGGUAGUGGGUAAAGAAGCACCGGCUAACUACGUG
rnacentral:rRNA from 1 species